rnacentral:rRNA from 1 species
UACGGAGGGUGCAAGCGUUAUCCGGAUUUACUGGGUUUAAAGGGUGUGUAGGCGGACUUAUAAGUCAGGGGUGAAAUCUCCGAGCUCAACUCGGAAACUGCCUUUGAUACUAUUAGUCUUGAAUUAUGUUGAGGUUGGCGGAAUAUAACAUGUAGCGGUGAAAUGCAUAGAUAUGUUAUAGAACACCGAUUGCGAAGGCAGCUGGCUAAACAUAUAUUGACGCUGAGGCACGAAAGCGUGGGUAGCGAACAGG